rnacentral:rRNA from 1 species
GAUGAACGCUGGCGGCGUGCCUAAUACAUGCAAGUCGAGCGAACAGAUGAGGAGCUUGCUCCUCUGACGUUAGCGGCGGACGGGUGAGUAACACGUGGAUAACCUACCUAUAAGACUGGGAUAACUUCGGGAAACCGGAGCUAAUACCGGAUAAUAUAUUGAACCGCAUGGUUCAAUAGUGAAAGACGGUUUUGCUGUCACUUAUAGAUGGAUCCACGCCGCAUUAGCUAGUUGGUAAGGUAACGGCUUACCAAGGCAACGAUGCGUAGCCGACCUGAGAGGGUGAUCGGCCACACUGGAACUGAGACACGGUCCAGACUCCUACGGGAGGCAGCAGUAGGGAAUCUUCCGAAAUGGGCGAAAGCUUGACGGAGCAACGCCGCGUGAGUGAUGAAGGUCUUCGGAUCGUAAAACUCUGUUAUUAGGGAAGAACAAAUGUGUAAGUAACUAUGCACGUCUUGACGGUACCUAAUCAGAAAGCCACGGCUAACUACGUG